rnacentral:rRNA from 1 species
CCCUUAGGUGUUCUGGGCCGCACGCGCGCUACACUGAUGCAUUCAACAAGCCUAGCCUUGACCGAGAGGUCCGGGUAAUCUUUGAAACUGCAUCGUGAUGGGGCUAGAUUAUUGCAAUUAUUAAUCUUCAACGAGGAAUGCCUAGUAAGCGUGAUUCAUCAAAUCGCGUUGAUUACGUCCCUGCCCUUUGUACACACCGCCCGUCGCUCCUACCGAUUGAAUGUGUUGGUGAGGAGCUCGGAUUGGCAGCAGUUGGUGGUUCGCCACCGGCUAUUGCUGAGAAGUCCUCCAAACCGCCCCAUUUAGAGGAAGGAGAANUCGUANCA